rnacentral:lncRNA from 1 species
AUGGAGUUAGAGAGGACAGAGGACUCUAGGUUUAGGAAAAUUUCCAUCUUGCCUUGGCCCCAAAGCUACUGGGCUGUAAGGUUAAAUGUGAGUGCUGUUUAUUAUGAAAUUAUAUUGGAGGGUCAGUAUUUCCAUUUUGAAAAUUGUAAUAGACUUUUAGUUAAUUAGUUGUCAUAAAGAGUAAUUAGGUAUUGUGAUAUAUUCUUAUCCUGUCCAUUUUGUCUUAUUUCAUCUUUUACUCAUAUAAAUACAUCCCAGUUUGCCUGUGAGGGCCCUAGUUGGGUCUGUUUUUCUGGUGUAAUUAUGAGUAAGCACCUUCUAUUAUUCUAAAAAGUAUUUUAAUUUGGACAAUAAGUUAUAUGGUUGUUGUACCUUAAUUCAGCAGGAUCCUUAGAAAUGGGUGUAUUUGAAAGUAAAGGCUGGAGAUUAGUGAUCAGGAAGCAAUGUUUAUUUCUUUCUAGGUUAUGAAUAUCAGAAAUGUUGAGAGACCAAGCCUGUUAUAUACUUACAGUUGAAUUCAUUUAAAGGGUUAACAGAAUUCAACUUUUUACUUAAAACCUUUUGUUCUUGUUUUUAGUACUAACUUUUGUUUCUUUAAAAAUAGGGUUAACCUAAUUUAUCAGUCUAGAAUGUCAUCUUGUGUCAAUUUUUAACAUCAGUGACAUAAACUAUUUUCCUUUUCCAUUAAAAAAUUGACUAAAAUAAUUAUCUUCCAUGGUGCUUUUUUUAUGAAUGUGAAGCUUAAUGUAAAUAUAUGACAAUUCAAGAAAGUUUAGCUGGUAGUUUUAGGGUAGAAACCUACAUUUUUCCCAUAUAGUACAUCUUCCUUAUCUAUACUGUUAAGCAAAAUAUGAAGUGGUAUCUCAGAAUGGUAAAGCACAUAUUAUAUAUUUGUGUUCAUAUAUGAUUUUGCUUCUUGAUAAUGUACUGCAGACAGUCUGUGCUGCCUCUUAUUUGAGAAAUUGUGGAAGCCCAGAGGGUAUUACUAAGUUUAAUAAUUCAUUGCUACACAUGAAGGAAAAUAAGUAUUAAUUGAACUAAAUUAUUCAUUAGAAAAUUUAGUAUACUUCAGAAUGCAUAAAAACUUGAAGAAAUUUCUGAAUAAAAACCUUUGCUUUGAAAACA